UACGUAGGUGGCAAGCGUUGUCCGGAAUUAUUGGGCGUAAAGGGUGCGUAGGCGGUCUAUUAAGUCUGGUUUGAAAGCCCAUGGCUUAACCAUGGAUUGAGAUUGGAAACUGGUAGACUUGAGGACAGGAGAGGAAGGUGGAAUUCCACGUGUAGCGGUGAAAUGCGUAGAGAUGUGGAGGAACACCAGUGGCGAAGGCGGCCUUCUGGCCUGUGACUGACGCUGAUGCACGAAAGCGUGGGUAGCAAACAGG
rnacentral:rRNA from 1 species